rnacentral:rRNA from 1 species
UAGGGAAUCUUCGGCAAUGGGGGGAACCCUGACCGAGCAACGCCGCGUGAGUGAAGAAGGUUUUCGGAUCGUAAAGCUCUGUUGUUAAGGAAGAACGAGCGUGAGAAUGGAAAGUUCAUGCUGUGACGGUACUUAACCAGAAAGGGACGGCUAACUACGUGCCAGCAGCCGCGGUAAUACGUAGGUCCCGAGCGUUGUCCGGAUUUAUUGGGCGUAAAGCGCGCGCAGACGGUUAGAUAAGUCUGAAGUUAAAGGCAGUGGCUCAACCAUUGUAGGCUUUGGAAACUGUUUAACUUGAGUGCAGAAGGGGAGAGUGGAAUUCCAUGUGUAGCGGUGAAAUGCGUAGAUAUAUGGAGGAACAACGGUGGCGAAAGCGGCUCUCUGGUCUGUAACUGACGCUGAGGCUCGAAAGCGUGGGGAGCGAACAGG